GUGGGGUGACUGCGUACCUUUUGUAUAAUGGGUCAGCGACUUAUAUUCUGUAGCAAGGUUAACCGAAUAGGGGAGCCGGAGGGAAACCGAGUCUUAAUUGGGCGUUAAGUUGCAGGGUAUAGACCCGAAACCCGGUGAUCUAGCCAUGGGCAGGUUGAAGGUUGGGUAACACUAACUGGAGGACCGAACCGACUAAUGUUGAAAAAUUAGCGGAUGACCUGUGGCUGGGGGUGAAAGGCCAAUCAAACCGGGAGAUAGCUGGUUCUCCCCGAAAGCUAUUUAGGUAGCGCCUCGUGAAUUCAUCUCCGGGGGUAGAGCACUGUUUCGGCUAGGGGGCCAUCCCGGCUUACCAACCCGAUGCAAACUGCGAAUACCGGAGAAUGUUAUCACGGGAGACACACGGCGGGUGCUAACGUCCGUCGUGAAGAGGGAAACAACCCAGACCGCCAGCUAAGGUCCCAAAGUCAUGGUUAAGUGGGAAACGAUGUGGGAAGGCCCAGACAGCCAGG
rnacentral:rRNA from 1 species